GCCCCCGUGGCGCAAUCGGUAGCGCAUACGACUUUUAAAAGUCUGUUUCCGGUUAUUGGUCAUCAGUUCAUCGUACGGUUGCGGGUUCGAGCCCCGCCGAGGGCU